CUGUGAGCGCAAUCAGGCCGCCUUGUCCUUCUCCGAGCCGGGGUGUUUCUGGGUACCGCGAGAAUUGCUCUGACUGCAGGUCACUAUGCCGGUAGGGCCGGGAUGGCUGAGGAGCUGCUGGUAGGCUCAGCCCUUCGGCCCUCUUUGACGAAAUGGCACCCCGAGACCGUCCGGUAGUGGCACCUCAGGCCGCCAUGCGCAAACGCGGGGCUCGAAAGCGCCUCAAGUUUCGGGCCGAAGACGUCUGCUUAGAGCGGAUGACCGUGGCCGACUAUGCAAAUUCGGAUCCUGCCGUGGUGAAAUCCGGACGCGUGAAAAAGGCUGUGGCCAAUGCGGUGCAACAAGAAGUGAAAUCACUCUGUGGUUUGGAAGCAUCUUUCGUACCCACUGAUGAAAUACUAUCUGUGGCAGAGUCCUAUGACAGUGGCGAUGAAAUGGAUUCUAAAUAUUUCACCACUGAUGAAUAUUUCAUGACUGAUAGAAAAAAGAAAAGCAAGAGGCAUAAAGAAAGCUCUGAGAGUGUGGUAGGCAAAGAAUAUCCAAUUGACAUAUGGUUGAUGUUGGCAUCCUAUAUACGUCCAGAAGACACUGUGAGUUUUUCUCUAAUUUGCAAAAGGGCCUGGAUUGUUACUUGUACAGCUGUAUUCUGGACCAGACUUUAUAGAAGGCAUUAUAAUAGGAGUGCCUCCCUCCCAAUCCGUUUACAGCCAGAAUCAAUGGAAAAGAUGUACUGCCUUCGUGCAUGUGUAAUUCGUUCAUUAUACCAUACGUAUAGACCUUUUAUUUCCCGGAUAGCCAGAAAUCCAACAAUCCCGGAGGCUACUCCAAGCAGUCUAAAAAAUUCAAAAUGUAGCUUCUGUGGGACACUGGAGCUGUUGUGGUGUCAGCAAAAGUUGCCCUUAAAGACAGAUCCACUGUUUGGAGCAGCAUACCAGUUGGUACACAUCUGAAGGGUAGGACAGCUGGCAUGUGGAUUUCUAUGUCUUAGGAAAUUCUUAAGCUACUUUCCUCCUUUUAACUAAUAUUCCAGGUUUCACAGACAAGAGGGCUAAUUCUACUAGCUGCAUCCCUCUGAAUCUAAUGCAGGUAGUCCUCUUUAGUGACUGCCUCGUUUAGCAACUAUUCACAGUUAUGACAGUAAUAAAAAGGUAACUUUGUGACCAAUCCUUGCAUUUAUAACUUUCUCAUGUCUGUAAAGCAAAGGAAAGCUGAAGUAAGAUUAUAAGCAUAGUUACAAUUUCUCUUAGUGACCAUUUUGCUUGUGGUCACUAAAUAAGGAUUACUUGUAUGCAGCUGUAAUAAUUUGCUUUAUAAAGAUGAGAUGCUUACUCCUAUAGUUUAAAAAAAAGUAAUAUUGCUAUGCAUGUCUAGACUUUCUUUUAUCAAAAGAAUAUUCUAUCAGUUGUUACGUUAGCAAGAUCUGUCUCUGCUUAUUAAUUUAUUUAAACUUGUAUGCCACUCAGUUCCCAAUACCUCUGGCUUACAACAAUCAACAAAAAGGAAAUUAUAAUAAAACCAAUAAAAGGAUAAACGAUUAAGCUUGGAUUUUAUUGAUAUAUUCACUGUAGAAUAGCUUUUGUCAUAAGAGGUGAAUGUUGCUUUUCAAAUCUAAUGGAUGUUUAAUAAAGUUGUGAAUGGGCAUCUUGUAUGAUAGUUAUCUUCUCCAUAAAAAUCUGGAAUGUCUGCCCUAUUCUGGUUCCAGUAGUUUCUUGAUUUUUUUCUUGAUAAAGCAAAUAAUGAGCAAUUCUUAGCAAUAUUUUGAAAUCAUUAUUUCUAGAUUCUUUAGAUUCAAUUUGGAAAUAUUUGUUUAAGUUCAUCUUUCAUUUUAUUUCCAUGUAGUAUCUAUUUCUGUUCAGAAGAGGAAGUGCACAUUAUAAUACAAUGAUAUCCUUUUUUGAAAUUGAUGCCAAUGUUAUUUAUUUUACCCUCAAAGUGAUUUGUUAAAGUAUAGAAACUCCAGACUGGAUUAUUUGAAUACGUUUAUGUUCAAUAAGCCACAAUCUUCAUUCCAAAGAGGUUGGAAGCCUAGUGCUUUAUUGCUUUAUGUCUGUAUAACACUAUGUCCACAGACCACAACUCUUUCUCUUUUGCUCAACUAGUGCCUGCUUUUCUGGUCUAAAAGGAUUAACCAGCAGUCUUCACUGUGGGAAUUCAGCUUCAAAUUCCAAAGGCAGUCUCCCAAGUUGAAGAAUAAACG